AGCAACCCUCGCGCAUACAUAAGCCAUUUUCUAUGGAGGGGAGGAGGCACCGUACGAAUGGCAGGAUAAAGUGUCGAAUGACAAAUCAUGUACCCAUUCCCAUCGGACACAACACAUGCAACCCCUACCAGAGCCGCAUUUCAAGCGAAACAGAAAGAGACGAAAUUAUUCAGAAAAACCAUCUGCCCUUAACAUCACCAAGCCGUCGAAUCCGAUAGGAAUGAACCCCGGGCUACAUCAAGCCGCCAAGGUAUGAGUAGAAAGAAGACCAACACGCUAGAAGAACAGCACAUUCAAUACGAAGGCGAAUGGAUGGAUGGUUUGUGCUUCGCUUCACCACGCUACCCUUGGGAAUCGCCUUUGCGAGGCAGGGAAGGAACGCAAGAUGAAAAAUGACUGUUGAAGGCGUCCAAGUGUGCUAAUGGGAUGGCUGGGGCGUAGAGGGUAACAUGAAAAAAAAACAUCAAGUCGAAAAUCUCUUCCCUUGCUGCUGCUUUUCGUAACACGAAACCCGUUGCAAUCGCUCGCUUUUCGCAAAACUGCAUUGAAAUGGAUAGUUUAUUCGUACAUAAUCAACUAAAAAUGGAACCAAAAAAAUCACAUAACUGGUGCAAAGAAGCCAUGGAAUAAUUCA